rnacentral:rRNA from 1 species
UACAGAGGUCCCGAGCGUUGUUCGGAUUCAUUGGGCGUAAAGGGUGCGUAGGCGGCGGGGCAAGUCUGAUGUGAAAUCCCGGGGCUCAACCCCGGAACUGCAUUGGAUACUGCCUUGCUUGAGUACUGGAGAGGAGACUGGAAUUUACGGUGUAGCGGUGAAAUGCGUAGAUAUCGUAAGGAAGACCAGUGGCGAAGGCGGGUCUCUGGACAGUUCCUGACGCUGAGGCACGAAGGCCAGGGGAGCAAACGGG